AAACUGGAAAGAUAUAGUCUAAUCUGAUGGGUUUUGAGCAUUCUAACACUUCCUAAGUGUACAUGCAACCCUAAUAACCUUGGAUCUAUGUUUGUCUAAUUAUCAUGCAAAGUUGAAUUCCAAGGUUAUAUUCCUAUCUAGCAUACAUGGGGAACAAUUUUAACUUGAAUCAUAGAUAGAAUAACUUACCUUGUUGUUGCUUGUGUUCCUUGAAACCUUGUGAGCCUAGCACCCCAAGUGUGAUGCCUCAAAUGCUUCACACAACACCAAAUGCUCUUGGAAAGACUCUUGAGAUAACACACACUUCUCAAAAUCGGCCAAGCCCUCUAGUUUCUUAGUGUUCAACUUGUGUAGCCAAUUUUGUGGAGAAUGGGACUCUUAUAUAGUGUUGGCACAUCUAGGGUUACACCAUGUAAACCCUAAUGUGUCAUGACUCUUCAUUUCCAUGACCCAUGGGUUUGUAACUCCCAUGGAGCAUCCAUGGAGCAUCCUAUGGGUAGAACCCAACUUGAUAAUCCAUGGAGCCUCUUAGCCCACUAUACAAGAUAUGGAUGAUUUACAUAAUCAACCCAUAUAUUUAAUUAGUUAUCCUUUGAUCACUUAAUUAAUUCCAAAUUAAUUCUUUGAUCAACUAAUCAAAUAAUAUUAUUAAUAUAUUAGAACUUAUAAUAUAUUAAUAAUCUCCAAGUGUUAUUUCUCUCAUUUAGUCUAUCCAAUUGCAUGGUGCCAUGCAACCCAAAUGGACCAUGCCGGGUCGGGUCAAGUACAAGCCCGAAAUAGUUAUGGACUUAGACACCUUAUCCAACAGUCUCCCACUUGGAUAAGUCUAAUAACUAUAUCUCUAGUACUUCAGGAACCGACCGGCAAUCGUAGCUCUUUCAAGGUCUCUCGGAACUGAGAAGAUGAUGGUACGCCAUUUAAGAUAAGUGAUCAUAUAAUCCUCCGUUCUAGAUAUCAGCCGGACAAAUACAUGGAACAUUGUCUUGCUUAUUGUCCAGCAUUUGUUUCCCGAUUUCCGAUUUGUUUGACAUAGAACUUAAUUGAACACAUCAACUUAGUUCUGACCGGGCCCGGUACAUGGGUCAAAACAAAAUCAUCGAGGGGCCCAGAUAUCAGCUUCUAAUCCAAGAAGGAACAGAUAAACUUCGACUCAUAUGUUUGUUCUACCACUCAUUGAAUUACACACAAAAGUACGUUUUAUAACAUCGAGUUACCAAUGCGGUUUCGUACAGUCAAUGCAUAACCAACUUGUAAGUAACAAAUCAUAUCUCUAGGUUUGAAGACUUAUAUGAUAUUACCGUCUCACGAUCACUCGAGAUAGAAUUCCAUGAAGUGAUUCCAGUGAGCGUGGGUUGAGUCCAAUGCUCAGAACUUAUGAGCACUCAUGAUUGUUGUAGCCUUGUCCAAGACCUCUACAACCAAACAUGACAGUCUUGAUUCAUAUCUACUUCCAACAUAUGACCGACUGUGGAGGUUUGAAUAAUAUGUUAUACCAAACAAAAUUAUUCUGGAAGUCAAAACAUGCAAAAGAAAUAUAGUAAACGAUCGACAAGAGAUAGCAACACUUUACUCAUAAAUAAAACACCUUUUAUUCAUCAUCAAAUGUCAAUUACACUUUACAAAUUUCUGGGUUAUCUAACUACUAAAACUUAUAUCAUCCUUCAGCCCUAUGCUCCGAGCAUGCUGGAGAUGCUUAACCCUACUCAGUCCCUUCGUGAGGGGAUCUGCUGGGUUCUCAUCCGAUGAUACCCUCUUUGCCACGAGGAGUCCUUCUUCGAUCCGAUGUCUAAUGAAAUGGUAUUUUCUGUCGAUGUGUCUGGAUCUCCCAUGAUCCCUUGGUUCCUUGGCUAAGGCAACAGCACUUUCACUAUCACAGAAAAUUUCCAUUGGCUCUUUAAUAGCUGGUACAACUCCAAGGUCUCCAAUGAAGUUCUUCAGCCAUAUCGCCUCCUUUGCUGCUUCACUAGCUGCAAUAUACUCUGAUUCACAAGUAGAAUCUGCCACUGUCUCUUGCUUGGAACUCUUCCAAGAAAUUGCUCCUCCGUUUAGGGUAAAGACCCAGCCCGACUGAGAGCGGAAAUUAUCCCUAUCAGUCUGGAAGCUAGCAUCACUAUACCCUACAACUCUCAAGUCAUCACUCCCACCGAGGGUAAGGACCCAGUCCUUAGUCCUCCGUAGGUACUUGAGGAUAUUCUUUACCGCAGUCCAGUGUGCCUUGCCAGGGUUCGCCUGAUACCUGCUAACCAUGCUCAAGGCAAAAGCUACAUCGGGUCGAGUACACGUCAUAGCAUACAUGAUCGAUCCUACAGCCGAAGCGUAAGGUGUUCGACUCAUUUCUGCUAUCUCAGCCUCAGUGCUAGGGCUUUGUGUCUUACUCAAUCUGGUGUUACUCUGGAUGGGUAACUCUCCUUUCUUGGAAUCCUGCAUGCUGAAUCUCUUCAGCACCUUAUCCAAGUAGGUACUCUGACUAAGUCCAAUUAGUCUUUUACUCCGAUCUCUCAAGAUUCUUAUCCCUAGAAUAUAGGCAGCUUCACCAAGGUCCUUCAUAGCGAAACACUUCCCAAGCCAGGACUUUACUUCCUGCAGGGUUGGAAUGUCGUUUCCUAUGAGUAGUAUGUCAUCCACAUACAAUACCAAAAAGCUAACUAUACUCCCACUAGCCUUGACAUACACACAAGAUUCAUCUUCACUCCUAGAAAAGCCAAAUUCCUUGACCUUUUCAUCAAAGCAAAGAUUCCAUCUGCGAGGUGCUUGCUUCAAUCCAUAAAUGGAUUUCUCAAGCUUACACACUCUAUUAGGGUACUCGUUGCUGACAAAACCCUCUGGCUGACUCAUGUAAACAUCUUCAGCCAACUUUCCAUUAAGGAAAGCGGUUUUGACAUCCAUCUGCCAUAUUUCAUAGUCAUGAAAUGCAGCUAUGGCUAACAGAACCCGAAUAGACUUAAUCUUGGCUACCGGAGAAAAGGUCUCAUCAUAAUCCACUCCAGGAAUUUGAGAGAAGCCCUUUGCAACCAGUCUAGCCUUAUAAGUGUGUACUUUACCAUCCAUGUCGGUCUUCUUCUUGAAGACCCAUUUGCACCCUACUGUCUUACGACCUGGUACAUUUUCAACCAAGUUCCAAACUUGAUUGUCAUACAUGGAUUGUAUCUCGCUAUCCAUAGCCUCUUUCCAUUUAGCAGACUCGGGGCCUGCCAUGGCUUCCUCGUAGCUGUUAGGGUCAUCUUGACUUACUAGUGUCUCAUCACUAAUAAGUGUCUCACCUUCUGCAGUAAUAUGGAAUCCAUAGUAAUGCUCAGGUGCACUCCUAACUCUCGUGGAACGUCUCAGAGGUACAGAUUUGUCAAUUGGCUCAACAGGAGUUUCCUCCUCAAGUUGAGGGCUAGAGUUUGAAGUUCCUUCACCGCUUGAUUCUUGAAUUUCUUCAAGAUCAAUUUGCCUCCCACUGUCUCCUUGGCUUAUAAACUCUCUUUCUCGAAAGACUCCUCUUCUUGCUACAAAGACCACAUUGUCACUAGGUCUGUAGAAGAGGUAACCAAAGGAUCGCUGUGGGUAACCGAUGAAAAUACACCUCUCGCUUCGAGGUUCGAGCUUAUCAUGAGUCUCGCGUCUCACGAAAGCCUCGCAACCCCAAAUCUUGAUGUGGUCUAGUUUAGGUACUUUACCAGUCCACAUCUCGUGAGGAGUUUUGGCAACUUUCUUUGUAGGGACUAGAUUAAGAAUAUGGGCGGCAGUCUCUAAGGCAUACCCCCAGAAUGAGAUUGGUAGCGUAGCUCGACUCAUCAUGGAACGAACCAUAUCUAACAAGGUUCGAUUACGCCUCUCAGCCACACCAUUCAACUGUGGUGUCCUGGGAGGUGUCAAUUGUGAGACUAUCCCACAUUCCCUUAGAUAGUCGAGGAACUCUGAACUAAGAUACUCACCACCACGAUCGGAUCGAAGCAUCUUAAUGUUCCUGCCCAAUUGAUUCUCGACUUCCUGUUUAAAUUCCUUAAACCUCUCGAAAGUCUCUGACUUAUGCUUGAUCAAGUAGACAUAUCCAUAUCUACUAUAAUCAUCAGUAAAAGUCAAAUAAUAACGAUUAGCAUCCCUUGUGGCAUGUUUGAAUGGUCCACACACAUCCGUGUGUAUAAGGUCCAACAAACCUUCACCCCUCUCACACGAACCUGUGAAGGGUGACUUUGUCAUUUUUCCAAGUAAGCAUGAUUCGCAACUAUCAUCUGACUUUAGGUCAAACGACUCCAAGACUCCAUCCUUUUGGAGUUGGCCUAUGCGUUUCUUGCUUAUAUGUCCAAGACGACAAUGCCAUAAAGAUGCUUUAUCCAAGUUAUUAUUAGUAGAAUCAAUACACAAAACAUUAUUUCCCAAGUUAUCUACAACAGAUACAGCUUCAUACACACCAUCACAAGGUAAUGCUUUAAAAUAAAAGACAUUAUUAUAGAAAACAUCUAUAGAACCAACUUCAUUAUUAAAUGAAAAGGUAAACCCUUGUUUGUACAAAGCAUGAAAGGAAAUAAUAUUUCUUGCCAUUCCUGGCGAAUAACAACACUUAUUCAAAUCUAAACUAAACCCACUACUUAGCGAUAAAGUAUAAACUCCAAUCUUGGUAACAGGUAUAGCUUUCCUAUUCCCCAUGAUCAAGUUUAUCCUUCCUUGCUCCACAUCCUCACUUCUUCUUAGUCCCUGCAAGUCACAACAAAUGUGAAUACCACACCCGGUAUCAAGGACCCAAGAAUUAGAAUGGGGUGAGUUAUUAGAAAUGAUAGUGUAAAUACCUGCAUGGUUGGGUUUAACUUUCCCAUCCUUCACAUCUUGCUGGUAUUUUGGGCAGUUCCGCUUCCAAUGAGCUUUUUCAUGGCAAUAGAAGCAUUCAGCCUCUUUUGGGUCAGAAGAAGGAGUAACGAAACCUUUCUUGGUUCCACUUGAAGAAGAGCCAUCAAGGGUCCGAGCCUUGGUACCCUUAGAAGAGCUCUUUCUCUUCCUCCCUCGACUUUUCCCGAUUGCCAAAACCGGAGUAGAGUUUUGAGUAGGAGUGAUAGCAACCGACUUCCCCUUAAGACCUGUUUCUGCGGUCUUGAGAAGUCCCUGAAGUUUGCUGAGGGUGACUUCUUCCUUGUUCAUGUGAUAUGUCAUGCGGAAUUGAUCAUAGCACGAUGGUAAGGAAUGCAAAAUAAUAUCUAUUGCAAGAUCCUCCGGGAAGUUCACAUUAAGCUUCAGCAAACGAUCCACAUACCUUUGCAUUUUCUGCAUGUGGCUCGUGACGGAUUCCCCGUCCUUCAUCAUGGUUGUUAUCAUGGAGCAGAUGAUUUCAUACCUCUCUUGUCUUGCACUUUGAUGGUAUCUUUCCAUCAAAUCUUGGUGCAUGUCAUAAGGGUAGAAAUCCUCAUAAGACUUUUGGAGUUCCGCUGUCAUCGUGGCCAUCAUGAUGCAAGCCACUUUCGUAGCAUCCCUUUCAUGUGCCCGAAAUUCAGCGAUCUCCUGAGGAGUUGCAGUGGACUCAUCAAUCUCCUUAAGCUCCUUGUCAAGGACAUAUUCUUUGUCCUCGUAGCGGGUAAUCAUCCUGAUGUUUCUGAUCCACUCAUUGAAGUUGGAUCCAUCAAAGGUGACUUUCCCACACAAGUUCAUAAGGGUAAAGGAGCCAUUAGGAUUAGAGCCAGAAGCAUUGUUGAAAGACAUCUGAAGGAAAGAGGACAAGAUUAGUUUAGAUAUAAGAGAGUCCUUAAUAAAACACCCAAAUGUAAUAUUAAGGCUAGGAUCCAAUCACAAUAUAAUAUAACUUAGAAGAGGUAUGCCGUAAUCUAAGCUAUAUCAUAUUUGAAAGGUAGGUGAAUGACGAUUCACCAAUUUCCACCACGAAAACCGCAAUAUUUUAGUAUUAGGUUUUUGAAUGGUUCUUAGAAAUUCCUAGAUUCUUUGAGAUUCAAUGAACUUUUCAAAGGCAUGUUUCAAUCUCGAGUGUGCCCUCCAAGUUUUGUGACUGGGAUACCGAGGAUCACAAAACGAGGUGUGAAGUAACCAUGCAAAUCACUUGGUACCCUUAAAGUUUAUCACUCAAUCGAUGUGCCGGUUAACCACACACGCUCCAUCGAUACUAUAAUAAACCCUAAGUCACCCUUUACCUACCUUGUUAAGUCCAAGUUAGUGUGCCGGUUAACCACACACGCUCCACCAACGACUUAAUCAAAGUGUAAAGUGUAAUUUCAUGGAAUAGCACCUUAUUCACAUUUUUCCUAAAGUAACUAAGAUUGGGAAUUUAAUAAAACAUUUAGUUACUUUAUAAUAUUCAUCAUACUUUGAAUGAGAAUUAAUAAGUCCUUGUCUUACCCGUUCGGCUAACGACCCUCCACCGAUCAAGCAAGCGGUGGGUGAGAGUGGACACCCAUUAAGUCACCAUUUUAUAGGCAACAACCUUAUACCCACCUUAUAGACCGGCUUCGUGAAUGAGGCGUACUAGCGGUAAGACGACUUUGUUCUUAUACAUAUAUAUAUAAUUAUUAAAUCAUAAUAAUAUAAGUAUAAGGGUUGAAUUUUAACUUUUAAAAUUCUAGGGGUUGGAACUAAAGUUUUAACUUAACUUUACUUGUUCCAAAACUUGAGGGCAAGUUUUGUAAACUUUCAAAACUUUUCAUUUCUUGUAACUUAUGAGUUUAAUAGAGUAAUAAAAUGAGGACUUUUCAUUUUUCCUAACUCUUGUGUUCUUUUAAUGGUUUUUAAUCCAAGAGACUUUUGGUUUUCCAUAACUUGAGGACAAGUUAUGGACUCCAUUAAAACACAUUAUGAUCAUGAAUUAAUCUACCACAUAGGUUACAAAUAAUUCCUAUGAUCAUCUAAACAUCAUAAGAACAAGAAUAUGAAUAUGAACACUUUCAAGAAUCAAAAUCACAUUUAAUCUUUGUAAUUUUGAUAACUAGUUGUUGUAAAUGAGUUAGAAAAGACAUUACACCUUCUAAAAUAAGUUUUCAAGUACCAAAACAUUUUAGGGUAAUGAUUCUAAUCCAUUUCCAGCAACACAAGUCGAAAUUCUGCACUCUGUCGACCCUACUCGCCGAGUGCAUAAACCUACUCGCCGAGUAGGUUGAAGAUACACAUGAACUCGUCGAGUCCUCCCCAUGGACUCGCCGAGUCCAUCAGUCAGACAGCAAGAUUUUCGACUUUCUUCAACUUUUAAGCACAAAUAACAAACAAACAAGCCUAGGCUCUGAUACCACUGAUGGGUUUUGAGCAUUCUAACACUUCCUAAGUGUACAUGCAACCCUAAUAACCUUGGAUCUAUGUUUGUCUAAUUAUCAUGCAAAGUUGAAUUCCAAGGUUAUAUUCCUAUCUAGCAUACAUGGGGAACAAUUUUAACUUGAAUCAUAGAUAGAAUAACUUACCUUGUUGUUGCUUGUGUUCCUUGAAACCUUGUGUGCCUAGCACCCCAAGUGUGAUGCCUCAAAUGCUUCACACAACACCAAAUGCUUUUGGAAAGACUCUUGAGAUAACACACACUUCUCAAAAUCGGCCAAGCCCUCUUGUUUCUUAUUAGUGCCGAUUUUGGUGGAGAAUGGGAUCCUUAUAUAGUGUUGACACAUCUAGGGUUACACCAUGUAAACCCUAAUGUGUCAUGACUCUUCAUUUUCAUGACCCAUGGGUUUGUAACUCCCAUGGAGCAUCCAUGGAGCAUCCUAUGGGUAGAACCCAACUUGAUAAUCCAUGGAGCCUCUUAGCCCACUAUACAAGAUAUGGAUGAACCCAUAUAUUUAAUUAGUUAACCUUUGAUCACUUAAUUAAUUCCAAAUUAAUUCUUGAUCAAACUAAUCAAAUAAUAUUAUUAAUAUAUUAGAACUUAUAAUAUAUUAAUAAUCUCCAAGUGUUAUUUCUCUCAUUUAGUCUAACCAAUUGCAUGGUGCCAUGCAACCCAAAUGG
rnacentral:lncRNA from 1 species